GACGAACGCUGGCGGCGUGCUUAACACAUGCAAGUCAUGGGGGCCCGCAAGGGCAACCGGCGAACGGGUGCGUAACACGUGAGCAACCUACCGAUUUGUGGGGGAUAGCCGGCCUAACGGCCGGGUAAUACCGCAUACGCUUGUAAGGCCUCCUGGUCUAACAAGGAAAUCUUCGGAGCAGAUCGAGGGGCUCGCGGCCUAUCAGCUAGUUGGCGAGGUCACGGCUCACCAAGGCGACGACGGGAGCUGGUCUGAGAGGAUGGCCAGCCACAUUGGGACUGAGAAACGGCCCAGACUCCUACGGGAGGCAGCAGUGGGGAAUCUUGCGCAAUGGACGAAAGUCUGACGCAGCGACGCCGCGUGGGGGAUGAAGGC
rnacentral:rRNA from 1 species